rnacentral:lncRNA from 1 species
AAGCUAACAACCAAUCACUCUGGGCUUCUCCAUCCAGUAUGCCUAGAGAGCUGCCUCUCUGUUUUCUUUUAUGAAGCGCUGUAGAAACAGAAGGCACUGCAUGUUAAGCAAUGCUUUAUGUCAGUUUACUGAUGUUUUAGCUUACCACAUUGGUGCCAUUGAACUAGAUCCGGUGGGAAGACAAUUAAUGUCCUAA